GAUGAACGCUGGCGGCGUGCCUAAUACAUGCAAGUCGAGCGAACAGACGAGGAGCUUGCUCCUCUGACGUUAGCGGCGGACGGGUGAGUAACACGUGGAUAACCUACCUAUAAGACUGGGAUAACUUCGGGAAACCGGAGCUAAUACCGGAUAAUAUAUUGAACCGCAUGGUUCAAUAGUGAAAGACGGUUUUGCUGUCACUUAUAGAUGGAUCCGCGCCGCAUUAGCUAGUUGGUAAAGUAACGGCUUACCAAGGCAACGAUGCGUAGCCGACCUGAGAGGGUGAUCGGCCACACUGGAACUGAGACACGGUCCAGACUCUUACGGGAGGCAGCAGUAGGGAAUCUUCCGCAAUGGGCGAAAGCCUGACGGAGCAACGCCGCGUGAGUGAUGAAGGUCUUCGGAUCGUAAAACUCUGUUAUUAGGGAAGAACAAAUGUGUAAGUAACUAUGCACGUCUUGACGGUACCUAAUCAGAAAGCCACGGCUAACUACGUG
rnacentral:rRNA from 1 species